GACGAACGCUGGCGGCGUGCUUAACACAUGCAAGUCGAACGGAAAGGCCCUGCUUUUGUGGGGUGCUCGAGUGGCGAACGGGUGAGUAACACGUGAGUAACCUGCCCUUGACUUUGGGAUAACUUCAGGAAACUGGGGCUAAUACCGGAUAGGAGCUCCUGCUGCAUGGUGGGGGUUGGAAAGUUUCGGCGGUUGGGGAUGGACUCGCGGCUUAUCAGCUUGUUGGUGGGGUAGUGGCUUGCCAAGGCUUUGACGGGUAGCCGGCCUGAGAGGGUGACCGGCCACAUUGGGACUGAGAUACGGCCCAGACUCCUACGGGAGGCAGCAGUGGGGAAUAUUGCACAAUGGGCGGAAGCCUGAUGCAGCAACGCCGCGUGCGGGAUGACGGCCUUCGGGUUGUAAACCGCUUUCGCCUGUGACGAAGCGUGAGUGACGGGAAUGGGGAAAGAAGCACCGGCUAACUACGU
rnacentral:rRNA from 1 species